UACAUUAGUUGAUUACUGAUUACUUUCAUUGUAUUUUUUUGCUUUUUACAGAAGAAAAAUGUGUAUAAGUUCUAAAAGUUCAUACGGAGCAUGCAAUGAUGAAAAUGGAUAUUGGAAAUUUUCACGGAUCGGAGGUUGAAAUCCAUCUAUUCACAAAGUAAUUAUCGGAGGAAUUCAAAUCGGUGCUUUCACUGAUUUACAUACUUUGGAUGAAGGAUACAUGUCUCUCGAAGGUGUUUGUAAAUGUUCCAAAAAUUUAAAUUUUGGUUUUAUUUCAUGUAAAUUGGUUCCUUUGUAAGUGAUUUUUAUAUUUAUUCUUAAAAUUUUAUUUUUAUGUUUUCAAAUUGGAUAUGGGAUCUACGUGUGAAGUGCGUAA